GAUGCACAAUGGGCGCAAGCCUGAUGCAGCCUGCCGCGUGUGUGAAGAAGGCCUUCGGGUUGUAAAGCACUUUCAGUUGUGAGGAAAGGUUAGUAGUUAAUACCUGCUAGCUGUGACGUUAGCAACAGAAGAAGCACCGGCUAACUCCGUGCCAGCAGCCGCGGUAAUACGGAGGGUGCGAGCGUUAAUCGGAAUUACUGGGCGUAAAGCGUACGCAGGCGGUUUGUUAAGCGAGAUGUGAAAGCCCCGGGCUCAACCUGGGAACUGCAUUUCGAACUGGCAAACUAGAGUGUGAUAGAGGGUGGUAGAAUUUCAGGUGUAGCGGUGAAAUGCGUAGAGAUCUGAAGGAAUACCGAUGGCGAAGGCAGCCACCUGGGUCAACACUUGACGCUCAUGUACGAAAGCGUGGGGAGCAAACGGGAUUAGAUACCCCGGUAGUCCACGCCGUAAACGAUGUCUACUAGGAGUUCGGUUUUUCGGAACUGUCUUCCAAAGCUAACGCAUUAAGUAGACCGCCUGGGGAGUACGGCCGCAAGGUUAAAACUCAAAUGAAUUGACGGGGGCCCGCACAAGCGGUGGAGCAUGUGGUUUAAUUCGAUGCAACGCGAAGAACCUUACCUACACUUGACAUCCAGAGAACUUACUAGAGAUAGUUUGGUGCUUCGGGAAUCUGGGG
rnacentral:rRNA from 1 species